rnacentral:rRNA from 1 species
UUGUCCGGAAUAAUUGGGCGUAAAGGGCGCGUAGGCGGCUCGGUAAGUCUGGAGUGAAAGUCCUGCUUUUAAGGUGGGAAUUGCUUUGGAUACUGUCGGGCUUGAGUGCAGGAGAGGUUAGUGGAAUUCCCAGUGUAGCGGUGAAAUGCGUAGAGAUUGGGAGGAACACCAGUGGCGAAGGCGACUAACUGGACUGUAACUGACGCUGAGGCGCGAAAGUGUGGGGAGCAAACAGGAUUAGAUACCCUGGUAGUCCACACUGUAAACGAUGAAUGCUAGGUGUAGGGGGUAUCGACCCCUUCUGUGAUGC